AUUGAACGCUGGCGGCAUGCCUUACACAUGCAAGUCGAACGGCAGCAUAGGAGCUUGCUCCUGAUGGCGAGUGGCGAACGGGUGAGUAAUAUAUCGGAACGUGCCCUAGAGUGGGGGAUAACUAGUCGAAAGAUUAGCUAAUACCGCAUACGAUCUACGGAUGAAAGUGGGGGAUCGCAAGACCUCAUGCUGCUGGAGCGGCCGAUAUCUGAUUAGCUAGUUGGUGGGGUAAAAGCCUACCAAGGCGACGAUCAGUAGCUGGUCUGAGAGGACGACCAGCCACACUGGGACUGAGACACGGCCCAGACGCCUACGGGAGGCAGCAGUGGGGAAUUUUGGACAAUGGGGGCAACCCUGAUCCAGCAAUGCCGCGUGAGUGAAGAAGGCCUUCGGGUUGUAAAGCUCUUUUGUCAGGGAAGAAACGGUUCUGGAUAAUACCCAGAGCUAAUGACGGUACCUGAAGAAUAAGCACCGGCUAACUACGUGCCAGCCGCCGCCGUAACAC
rnacentral:rRNA from 1 species